rnacentral:tRNA from 1 species
GGAGGGUUAGUUUAAGGGAUAAAACUGCGGUCUUCUAAAUCGCCAAUGGCGGUUCGAAUCCGCCACUCUUCA